AGAGUUUGAUCAUGGCUCAGGACGAACGCUGGCGGCGUGCUUAACACAUGCAAGUCGAACGGAAAGGCCCUUUCGGAGAUGCUCGAGUGGCGAACGGGUGAGUAACACGUGGGUGAUCUGCCCUGCACUUCGGGAUAAGCUUGGGAAACUGGGUCUAAUACCGGAUAGGACCACAUGCUGCAUGGUGUGUGGUGGAAAGUUUGUAAUGGUGUGGGAUGGGCCCGCGGCCUAUCAGCUUGUUGGUGGGGUGAUGGCCUACCAAGGCGACGACGGGUAGCCGGCCUGAGAGGGUGUCCGGCCACACUGGGACUGAGAUACGGCCCAGACUCCUACGGGAGGCAGCAGUGGGGAAUAUUGCACAAUGGGCGCAAGCCUGAUGCAGCGACGCCGCGUGGGGGAUGACGGCCUUCGGGUUGUAAACCUCUUUCACCAUCGACGAAGGCCUGCUUUUGGGUGGGUUGACGGUAGGUGGAGAAGAAGCACCGGCCAACUACGUGCCAGCAGCCGCGGUAAUACGUAGGGUGCGAGCGUUGUCCGGAAUUACUGGGCGUAAAGAGCUCGUAGGUGGUUUGUCGCGUUGUUCGUGAAAUUCCCUGGCUUAACUGGGGGCGUGCGGGCGAUACGGGCAGACUGGAGUACUGCAGGGGAGACUGGAAUUCCUGGUGUAGCGGUGGAAUGCGCAGAUAUCAGGAGGAACACCGGUGGCGAAGGCGGGUCUCUGGGCAGUAACUGACGCUGAGGAGCGAAAGCGUGGGGAGCGAACAGGAUUAGAUACCCCGGUAGUCC
rnacentral:rRNA from 1 species